GGCCUUCCCAACAAGCAGGCCAUGGCGCAAGAUGCUGCCAGCAAGAAGGGCCACUGGACUCCCUCAAGACCCUUCUGAGACAAGACACAGAUGUCAGUGUAGAAGAAUUGCACCAACACUGAAUGGAUUUAUAAAACAUUGAAAUAAGAACAGAGAGUAGUUCGGAUCCAGUUUGACUUUUUUUGUACAUGUCCCAUCUAACUCCAGCCCCUGGAAGUCUGGUCUGGGAUGGGAUGUAAGUUUCAUCUCCAUAAUCUGUCUAACUGAGGCUCUGAGCCUGAUUUUCUUCCCUGUGACCUUUAUCUACGCGCAAUAUCAGCGUCAUCCUCCCCGUGGUGAUGGGGGCAGAGAAGCAGAAGGGCACCGUGGUGUCAGUGCCAAACUUGAAACAGAAUUCUCAUCUCAGGAUGUUCAUGAAGAGAAGGCUACUCAUGGCCGGCGUCAAUUUCCUGAUGUGUCAUGGAGUCUCGCUAUUGGCUUUGCCAUUUGCUGGUCAAUGUGGUUUGUAGGCAGAGCCAAUGAAAUGGAUCCAGAAAUGGAAUGUAACAUCUGUGACCAGUUCAAACCUUUCAACAUGAUGAUCUGUUUAUCAGAAACCAAAGCUGCUAAAAAGAAAGUACAAAAAAGAAGGGAAAAAAUCUAAAAAGCCAACUAUUCAUUAUAAGUUUGAAAACAACCUGUGUGUGGGCAUGACUCUGUGUGUGUGUGUGUGUGUGUGCGUGUGUGUAGACCACAUGUUAAAAAACAAAUUAGAAUGUGGUGCAUGUUGAUUGGGGGUGACGAAUCUUCCAGGUUUACCCAGGAUUCGGGUAGUUUCCUAAAACAUGGGACUUCCAGUGCUGAACAAGGACACUCUUGGAUGAAUCAGGCUGGCUGGUCAAAAUAAUGCAUCCUUAGACAUAGAGAUCUUGUAGCUUGUGGUCUGAAAUUUAGUGUUGCCAAACAUCACAGGAAGUUGCAAACUGUUGGACCGUAGAUUCAGCCAAUAUGGUGUCUG
rnacentral:lncRNA from 1 species